GUGGGUAUAGCUCAGUGGUAGAGCACAUGCCUAGUGUGCACCAGGUCCUGGGUUCAAUCCCCAGUACUUCCA
rnacentral:tRNA from 1 species